rnacentral:rRNA from 1 species
ACAGCAGCAGCCGCGGUAAUACGAAGGGGGCUAGCGUUGCUCGGAAUGACUGGGCGUAAAGGGCGCGUAGGCGGAUUGUUUAGUUAGGCGUGAAAUUCCUGGGCUUAACCUGGGGACUGCGCUUAAUACAGGCAGUCUAGAGUGAGGAAGAGGGUUGUGGAAUUCCCAGUGUAGAGGUGAAAUUCGUAGAUAUUGGGAAGAACACCGGUGGCGAAGGCGGCAACCUGGUCCUUGACUGACGCUGAGGCGCGGAAGCGUUGGGAGCAAACAGGAUUAGAUACCCCAGUAGUCCCUGUCUCUUAUAC